GUGCUUGUUUUAGCAGCACAUAUACUAAAAUUGGAAUGAUACAGAGAAGAUUAGCAGGGCCCUUGUGCAAAGAUGACAUGCAGAUUCAUGAAGUGCUCCACAUUUUU
ensembl:snRNA U6 U6 spliceosomal RNA